GGCAUUUUUCCCUUAUUAUACAGUCGAUGAUGAGACAGUUUCCGUGUUAGUCCUUUUGCUAUUAAGACACUUUUCCAAUAAUUUUUCUUCUGGGAAUAAUAUAACUGCAUUUUGUAUUUGUAGGGUAUUAAAAGUGAUGGCUUCAUUUCUUUCACCCACAACCUUUGCAUUGGGCUCUAUCAACUUUGCUGACUAUGAGCGUGGUCUCUAUUUGACACAGUACUCUAUGGUGCUAUUGGUCUCUAUCUAGAUAAGCGAUGUGGUCAAAUGGACCACUUAGCAACAGAUUGCGAAGAGAAAGGCUGGGGAGUUUGAUGAAGAAGGUGAUACUGAAGUGGUGGCAAAAAAGUCUUAUCAGGUUAAGUUUUGGGUUUGAUUACAAAUCCAGUUCCUUUAUGUACUGCAUUUGUAUUUCUCUGCUUGGCUACUUUGAAUUUGUGUUCGUGAAUGGUUUAAAAUUUCAAAUUUAUAUUUGACA